GAAAUACUCGAGACUGGGUAAUUUAUAAAGGAAAGAGGUUUAAUUGACUCACAGUUUACAUGGCUGGGGAGGCCUCAGGAAACUUACAAUCAUGGCAGAAAAUGACAGGGAGGCAAGCACCUUCUUGGCAUAGCAGCAGGAGAGAAAAGAAUGAAGGAGGAACUUCCAAACACUUAUAAAGCCAUCAGAUCUCAUGAAAACUCACUCACUUCACAAGAACAACAUGGGGGAAGCCACCCACAUGAUCUAAUCACCUCCCUCCUUCAGUGACGUGGGGAUUCCAAUUCAAAAUGAGAUUUGAGUGGGACACAGAGCCAAACCAUAUCACCCAAUAGAUGGAGCACUUAAGGCCUAAAAAGGUUAGUUAAUUGACCUGGGUUAUAUAGCUUCAUACAUGAGGAAACAGUAGGCUCAUUGCCUCUUGGCUGACAUAGCAUGAUACCUUACAUGUGGUAGCUAUAGGCAUUAUGUUACUUUUAUGCCAGCAUGUGAAUGUAAACAUUAUUUCAGUAAAAAUAUUUUUCCAUUUCUGCUUACUAGCUAUGAAGAUACUAGAACUACGAGAAAUAGAACAUAAAAAUAAGUAGAUACAAAAGUGUUUUUGAAGAAAUACAGAACAUAAAUUGGCAACUUGUAGGAGGGGCAAUUGAGCUUUCUCCUUUUAGCAGACUCUCCAGUGUUAUAAGUUACAUUUACAAUUCUUAGAUAAUUCUUGCACCUUCUUAUAAUGAGUCUGUUUUUAUCAUUUUUUCCAAUAAUAGUAUAGAAUUAAGAUGUUUAUAGAAAUAAAGUCAUAAAUAAAUGAGUAGGCAAUGACUCAUUUUUCAGCCUUUGAGACUUUCAGAAAGUUUGAAUGAAGUUCUGAUCUUUUUAUGGCUGUCCUGAUCUAGUAAUUUUGCAUAGCUCUCCCAUGGAACAUAUAUUUAAAACAAAUGUAUCAACCAAACACUAAACAAAAAUUAUUUUUAUGGUGGUACACAUUAAUUAAAUGUGAAAAAUAAGAACUCAACACCAUGAAAAAGUAAAUUAAGUGUUUUUGUGUUCAGGUGAAUAUUAUAUUUGUCAAUUAUUAGUAGCAGGAUUCUGGUACCUGUAAGUUGCGUAUUCUCCCACAAUAUAGAUUAAACAAUAUGCCCUUUUUGUUUAUUUUAUAGGUAAUUAUUAAGGACCUCUACAUUCAUAGAGCUUAUGUUCUGGGGUGGGAGAAAGAUGAUACACCAGAUAAAAAACUAGACUAUAUUGUAUGUUAAUGGCCACAGAAAAUAAAGCAGGGAAAGGGCAUAGGGAGUGUUGGGGAGAAUUUUGCAGUUUUCAAUAGUGUUUAGAAAAGGCUUUGCUGAGAUGACUUCUGAAUAAAAACAUAAGGAGCUAGUCUUGCAGCUAACUAUCUGAGGAGCAUUACUGGAGAGCAGCACAAAAGCCCUGAGGCAGGAAUGGGCAGAAACAUGCUCAGAUGUUUAAAGAACAGCAAGGAAGCCAGUGUGACUGGGAUAGAAUGAGAGAGAAAGUAAUAGAUAAGUUUACAGAGUUAACAGGAUUGUCAAUCUGUGGGGCCUUGUAGCCUAUUUUAAAGACUCUAGCUUUUACUCUUAGUGAGACUGGAAGCCAUUAUAGGUUUUGAAAAGAGUAGUCAUAAGUCCUGAGGUAUAUUUAACAGGAUCACUAUGGCUGCUGCAUUGCAAAUAGACUUAGGGGAACAUAGGCAAAAUAUGGAGACAGGAAGCUCUUGUAAUAAUUUAGGCAAGAGAUUAAUUGUGACUUGGGCCAGAGUAAUAGUGGGGGGUGGAAAGAAGUAGUUGCAUUCUGGAUCUAUUAUAAAAGUAGGGCCAACAGAAUUUGAUGACAUAUUGGAUGUGGAACAUCUGAGGAAAGCAGUCAAUAAUGACUCUUAAGCUGUUUUGGUCUCACCUGGAAAAAGGAGUUGCUGUUAAUAUUCAUGUGCAGGACUGUGAAAGGAGCAAGUUAGGGGUGGAAAGAUGAAAUCAAUUUUGGACAUGCUAAGUUUGAGAUGCCUAUUAGACAUCCAAGUUAAAUUGUAUGUGAGCUAAGAAUUUAGUGGACAUAUCUGUACUGGAGAUAAAAUUUAGGAGUUGCCAGCAAAUAAAUGGCAUAUAAAGCAAUGAGACUGAAGAGAUCACAAACAGAAUUAGUGUAAAUACAAAAUGAGAAAUUCAAACACUCACCCUUAGGAUGCUCCAUAGUUUAGUUAGAGGCAAUGGAGACCAAAAAGGAGCUGCCAGAGUAGUAGGAGAAAAGAAGAAAAGUGUCAUAGAAGCCAAAUAUCAAAGAGGAAGAAGUAAUCAAAAUGUCAAAUGAGGACUGAAAAUUAUCUCUGCUUUAAGAAGAGGGAUUUCUCACAAAAAUAGUUCUGUAGAGUGGUAGGAGCAAAUACAUGAUUAAAAAAAGGAUAGCAAGAGAGAAUUUGGAGAGACUGAGAAUAGAAAGUGUUUAUGAGGAGUUUCUCUGUAAAGAAAAGGAGAAUGAUGAAGCAGUACUUGGAGAGGAAAAUGGAGUCAAGAAAUACUUUGUUUUGUUUUAAAGACAGAAGAGAAUUUUGUAAUAGUGUUGGAAAAGUUCCUGUCAGAGAGAAGAAUUGCAGGAAAGAGGACGUCCUUGAGAAGACAAGAUGAGGAGAACCUAGUACACAGGCCACGGGAGCUCCUCAUCAAGAACUUUCAAAGUAAGCUUCAUAAAAUAAUAGACAAGGGAUGGUACUAUCCCUGUUCCAGCAUCAAGACCUAGGUUACAUCCAUGCUCUGCAAUGGUCAUUUACUACCUUGGUCAUUUUGGCAAAGGCAUUUACCUCCCUAUUUUUCAUCUAUAAAAUUAAAAUACUGAGUUCAUUACCCUUUAAACCUCCAUAUAUCUCUAAUGCUCUAUCAUUCAUGACUCAAGAAGUGUCUCAGAUCAACUCACAGUACAGCACAGAAUCUCUGGACUUCCAGACAAUUUGGUUGAACCUCCAAUACACUUGAAUAGAAAAGAUUAGAAAGGAUAUUCUUGUGUUGUUCCUUACCUUAGCAUUCAGUCUUUCACCAUUAAAUAUGUUGUUUGUAGGUUUUUCUCACAGAUGCCUUUAUCAAGUUGCAGAACUUCCUUUUCUUGAAAGGGGGCCUCUGCCAAUCCUCUAGGGUUUGCCCUCUAUGUAGUUGUCACCCAACUGGUUCUCUGAACUGUGAACUUACGUAACCUUGCUUUCCCUAGACUCCCAGCACCAUCUUCUUAAUUUAUAUAGUCAGUGGGGUUUUGACAGGAUUCCCUGCCUGGGGCACAACCAAAAUUCAAAGCAGUAAUCUGGGGCAAUUGUGAGGGCAGCCUUCACUUAUUUAACAUUCUCUGAGACCUUAGUGUUUCAUUAUUCAGUGUCCAUUGUCUUGAAGACUGUUGUUUUAUGUAAUUUGUCCCUGUUGCUCCAUCUUGACUAGAAGCAAAAGGCAGCUUUUUUAUUUAACAUAGCUUAAUACAUUUGAGAUUUGCUUGUGUACUUGCAUGAGUCAGUAAGUUUAUUCCUUUUUAUUGCUGACUAGAAUUCUGUCAUAUUGAUGUAUCUUUUUGCAUUAACUAGUUAAAAGACAUUUGAGUCCUUUUUACUUUAUAGCAGUAUGAGUGAAGUUGCAAUAUUAAUUCACAUGCACAUUCAUGUACAAAUCUGAGAACAUAAACUUUUUGUCAAGUACAUCCUUGGACAGGAUUGAUAGGUUAUAAGUAUAGAUUUGAUUUUAUAAAUAACUGCCAAGACAUUUUUCAAUGUGGCUGUACCAUUUUGUAUUUAAGUAUAGAUUUGGCUUUA